AGAGUUUGAUCCUGGCUCAGAAUCAACGCUGGCUGUGCGUGCCUCAAGACAUGCAAGUCGAACGAUUAAAGCCCUCUUCGGAGGGUGCAUAAAGUGGCGCACGGGUGAGUAACACGUAAGUAAUCUACCUUCGAGUGGGGAAUAACGUUCGGAAACGAACGCUAAUACCGCAUAAUGCAGCGGCAUCGCAAGAUGACAGUUGUUAAAGAUUUAUCGCUUGAAGAGGAGCUUGCGGCAGAUUAGCUAGUUGGUAGGGUAACGGCUUACCAAGGCGACGAUCUGUAUCCGGUCUAAGAGGACGGUCGGACACACUGACACUGAAUAACGGGUCAGACUCCUACGGGAGGCAGCAGUCGGGAAUUUUGGGCAAUGGGCGAAAGCCUGACCCAGCAACGCCGCGUGAAGGAUGAAGUAUUUCGGUAUGUAAACUUCGUAAGAAUAGGAAGAAUAAAUGACGGUACUAUUUGUAAGGUCCGGCUAACUACGUGCCAGCAGCCGCGGUAAUACGUAGGGACCAAGCGUUGUUCGGAUUUACUGGGCGUAAAGGGCGCGUAGGCGGCAAUUCAAGUCAGCUGUGAAAUCUCCGGGCUUAACUCGGAACGGUCAGCUGAUACUGCUUUGCUAGAGUACAGAAGGGGCAAUCGGAAUUCUUGGGUGUAGCGGUGAAAUGCGUAGAUUUCAAGAGGAACACCUGAGGUGAAGACGGGUUGCUGGGCCGAUACUGACGCUUGAAGGCGCCGAAAAGCUUAGGGUAGCAAACGGGAUUAGAUACCCCGGUAGUCCCUAGCCCUAAAACGAUUAAUANUUGGGUGUUCUGGAAGUUUUAUCCUCCCGGGUGUCGUCGCCUACGUUUUAGUNUUCCGGCUGGGGGAGUACGCCACGCCAAGUGUUGAGAAACUCAAAAGGAAUUGACGGGGACCCGCACAACCGGUGGAGCAUGUGGUUUAAUUCGACGCAACGCGAAGAACCUUACCUGGACUAGAAUGUGAGGGAAGGUCACGUAACAGUGACCGUCCGGGCAACCGGACCCAAAACAAGGUGCUGCAUGGCGUCGUCAGCUCGUGCCGUGAGAUGUUGGGUUAAGUCCCGCAACGAGCGCAACCCCUAUUGACAGUUGCUAACAUUAAGUUGAGAACUCUGUCAAAGACUGCUGUUGAUAAAACGGAGGAAGGUGGGGAUGAUGUCAAGUCAUCAUGGCCUUUAUGUUCAGGGCUACACACGUGCUACAAUGGUUGGUACAAAAUGUCGCAAUCUCGUAAGAGGGAGCUAAUCAUUUAAAGCCAAUCUCAGUUCGGAUUGAAGUCUGCAACUCGACUUCAUGAAGUUGGAAUCGCUAGUAAUCGCAGAUCAGAACGCUGCGGUGAAUACGUUCCCGGGUCUUGUACACACCGCCCGUCACAUCACGAAAGUAGGUUGUACUAGAAGUAGCUGGGCUAACCCGCAAGGGAGGCAAGUUACCACGGUAUGAUUUAUAAUUGGGGUGAAGUCGUAACAAGGUAGCAUGUAGGAGAACCUGUGGCUGGAUCACCUCC
rnacentral:rRNA from 1 species